GACGAACGCUGGCGGCGUGCCUAAUACAUGCAAGUCGAACGAGAGCAACCGGUGCUUGCACUGGUCAAUCUAGUGGCGAACGGGUGAGUAACACGUGGGUAACCUGCCCAUCAGAGGGGGAUAACAUCCGGAAACGGAUGCUAAAACCGCAUAGGUCUUCGAACCGCAUGGUUUGAAGAGGAAAAGAGGCGCAAGCUUCUGCUGAUGGAUGGACCCGCGGUGCAUUAGCUAGUUGGUGAGGUAACGGCUCACCAAGGCCGUGAUGCAUAGCCGACCUGAGAGGGUGAUCGGCCACAUUGGAACUGAGACACGGCCCAAACUCCUACGGGAGGCAGCAGUAGGGAAUCUUCCGCAAUGGACGCAAGUCUGACGGAGCAACGCCGCGUGAGUGAAGAAGGUUUUCGGAUCGUAAAACUCUGUUGUUAGAGAAGAACAAGUGCUAGAGUAACUGUUAGCGCCUUGACGGUAUCUAACCAGAAAGCCACGGCUAACUACGUG
rnacentral:rRNA from 1 species